rnacentral:rRNA from 1 species
GAUGAACGCUGGCGGCGUGCCUAAUACAUGCAAGUCGAGCGAACGGACGAGAAGCUUGCUUCUCUGAUGUUAGCGGCGGACGGGUGAGUAACACGUGUAUAACCUACCUAUAAGACUGGGAUAACUUCGGGAAACCGGAUCUAAUACCGUAUAAUAUUUUGCACCGCAUGGUUCAAAAGUGAAAGACGGUCUUGCUGUCACUUAUAGCUGGAUCCGCGCUGCAUUAGCUAGUUGGUAAGGUAACGGCUUACCAAGGCAACGAUGCAUAGCCGACCUGAGAGGGGGAUAGGCCACACUGGAACUGAGACACGGUCAAGACUCCUAAGGGAGGCAGCAGUAGGGAAUGUUCCGCAAUGGGCGAAAGCAUGACGGAGCAACGCCGCGUGAGUGAUGAAGGUCUUCGGAUCGGAAAAAUCUGUUAUGAGGGAAGAACAGAUGUGUAAGGAACUGUGCACAGAUUGACGGUACCUAAUCAGAAAGCCACGGCUAACUACGUG